ensembl:lncRNA
GAACAUGAAACCAUCACUUUUUUUACUUUUUCAAGGUAUCCUGCUCUAUGAUGCUUUGGGAUGGGAAGUGAGAAUGCCGAAAUACAUCCACGGCCUCAAAGGUUCCUGUCUGGUCAUACCAUGUUCUUUCAGCUACACAUCAUAUCCACCCAAAGACCCACGUAGAGUUGUGUGGUAUCAGUGGGUCUCUAAAGGUUAUCCUUUAGUUUAUGAUCCAUGGCAUCCAAAUGAUGUCAUUGAGAAGUUCAGAUGGAAAACUGAUUUAUAUGGUGACCCAUCAAAUAGGGAUUGCAGUCUGUUAAUUAAAAACCUGCAACAGUCCCACCACGAAGAGAAAUUAUAUGCUUGGAUUGACCCUGAAAAUGUUGGAUGGCGCACCUACGCAUUUUAUGAUGUCACCUCUACUAUUCAAGUUGAUGCAAGUCCACAGCAGCCUAGCAUCAGUGUUUCUGGAGGUGAAAGGAUAGAUGACACAAUUACAGUAGAAUGUUCAACUUUCCACACGUGUCCAUACAGCAAACCAGACAUCACUCUGAACGGUGUAGAAGGAUCUGAUCAAACAAAGGAUGAACAUAUUAAAGACGGUCUGUGGAAAAUCACUCUGACACGCACAGGUGUUGUAAAGGCAGAAAACUUUUGAGUGUUCAGUAACACCUUAUGGAGGCAUAACAGUGACAGUUACAAAAAACACAAGUGCACAAUGUGAGUAAAUACAAACAUGAACUGAUUUGUGUGCUAUUAGCUAUUCACGGUAAAUGUCACAUUGAGACCUAUUACAAGAUUUCAGUUCAAUUUCAGGUGUUCAUCAUAAAAUAAUGAUUGAGCCUGAACUGGCAGAUGUCACAGAGGGUGUUGCAAAGAACUUUAUUUGUAGUCUCUACCAUUCCUGCCAGAAAGAGAAUCCAGCCAUCACAUGGAACUAUGAGAACAUGCAGGUCACAAAGGGGAGCAAAACACUUUCUGGUUUAAAUCGCAUCACCUACUCCAACAUAACCUUUCUGGGUGCAAAAGAAGAUCAUGGGAAGAAAUUGAUUUGCACUGCAAAUUUUUCUGGAGGAAACAUUACAACCUCUGUUGUUUUACAUGUAAAAUGUGUUCAUCAUAACAUAACGAUUGAGCCUGAACUGGCAGAUAUCACAGAGGGCGUCGCAAAGAACUUCAUUUGUAGCGUCUACCAUUCCUGCCAGAAUGAGAAUCCAACCAUCACAUGGAACUAUGAGAACAUGCAGGUCUCAGAGUGGAACAAAACACUUUCUGGUUUAAAUCAGGUCACCUACUCCAACAUAACCUUUCUGGGUGCAAAAGUAGAUCAUGAGAAGAAACUGAUAUGUACGGCAAAAUUUUCUGGAAGAGACAUUAUGGCAUCUGUUGUCUUAAAUGUGCAAUACCCAGUGCUCAUUGGACUGGAGACUAUUGGUCUUUACAUCCUAAUGCCAUCACUUGUGUUCCUUCUGGUUUGUAUACUUGCUGGAGUCAUCAUAUACAAGAAGCGACAAAGGUCAAAAGAUGCAAUGUCUGGAAACAAGCCUUUCUCCAAACCUCAUAUGCCAUCACCAAAGAGUGAUCCAAAAUCCUGCUCUGGUAAUGAUUAUGAAGCUGAAUACACCAACAUGGAAGAACUCAACAUGUAUGGAAAUAUCUGAUGAGAAGCAAAAUGGGCUCAAUACAGUGUUUUUUUUUUUUUUUUUUAAGAUUAAAAAUAAUAAUUUUAUUAAUAAUAAAUUUGUUACAUUUAUCA